GACGAGGAUGGGAUCCGAACCCACGCAGGGAAACCCUAUUGGAUUGCUAAUCCAAUAGGGUUUCCCUGCGUGGGUUCGGAUCCCAUCCUCGUCG